CCUACGGGAGGCAGCAGUGAGGAAUAUUGGUCAAUGGCCGGAAGGCUGAACCAGCCAUGCCGCGUGAAGGUCAGUGCCCUAUGGGCGUUAAACUUCUUUUGUGCGGGAGCAAUAAUGGUCACGUGUGGCCAGACGAGAGUACCGUACGAAUAAGCAUCGGCUAACUCCGUGCCAGCAGCCGCGGUAAUACGGGGGAUGCAAGCGUUAUCCGGAUUUAUUGGGGUUUAAGGGUGCGUAGGCUGUGAGGUAAGUCAGCGGUGAAAUGCCCCCGCUCAACGGGGUGAAGUGCCAUUGAGACUGCCUUGCUGGAAUGCGGAUGCCGUGGGAGGAAUGUGUGGUGUAGCGGUGAAAUGCAUAGAUAUCACACAGAACACCGAUUGCGAAGGCAUCUCACGAAUCCGCGAUUGACGCUGAUGCACGAAAGCGUGGGUAUCAAACAGGAUUAGAUACCCGAGUAGUC
rnacentral:rRNA from 1 species